rnacentral:rRNA from 1 species
CACGUAGGGCGCAAGCGUUGUCCGGAAUUAUUGGGCGUAAAGAGCUCGUAGGCGGUCUGUUGCGUCUGCCUGUGAAAACCCGGGGCUUAACCCCUGGCUUGCAGUGGAUACGGACAGACUAGAGGUAGGUAGGGGAGAAUGGAAUUCCCGGUGUAGCGGUGAAAUGCGCAGAUAUCGGGAGGAACGACCGGUGGCGAAGGCGGUUCUCUGGGCCUUACCUGACGCUGAGGAGCGAAAGCGUGGGGAGC